CCCCAGGUGGUUCAGGGGUAAAGAAUCUGCCUGCCAAUGCAGAAGACCCAGGUUCGAUUCCUGGGUUGGGAA
rnacentral:tRNA from 1 species